rnacentral:lncRNA from 1 species
GGUGACUGGCAUGAAGUAUUGUAGGAUGCCCUAGUGUGAUAGUAGUAGCAGUUUCAACAGUCAUUGCACAUGCUAUCAAUGCUCUGAGACACGCCGGCAUACCCUGUACCGGAGCUCGAACUACUUUGGAAAAGAAUGCUAUGGGACACAUACCACCUCCUUGCUCUUGUGCACAGACCGCGGCCAUGGUUUUACAAUUGUCCCAAGCAUACAAAUGAAAUGGUUUACAAUACACAGGUAGUCCUAAAGCCUGGGCUUGCACAAUAACAACUUUAAGGGCAAUAUAUGCAGCUAGCAUGUCUGGUGACCAGCAG